rnacentral:rRNA from 2 species
UACGAAGGGUGCAAGCGUUACUCGGAAUUACUGGGCGUAAAGCGUGCGUAGGUGGUUUGUUAAGUCUGUCGUGAAAUCCCCGGGCUCAACCUGGGAAUGGCGAUGGAUACUGGCAAGCUAGAGUGAGGUAGAGGAGAGUGGAAUUCCCGGUGUAGCAGUGAAAUGCGUAGAGAUCGGGAGGAACAUCAGUUGCGAAGGCGGCUCUCUGGACCAUCACUGACACUGAGGCACGAAAGCGUGGGGAGCAAACAGG